GGCAUUAGUUGCCAAAUUCAAUUCUAAGCCUAAUGGACAUUAUCUUAAAUUUUCAGUUUUGGUUCACCUAAGUUCACUAUUCUAUUAGGCCUUUCUUUAAGACUGGCCAGAUUGAUCUUUAUCCAGAAUUUCUGGACAGAAAAUGGUUUUGAUAAUUUUGGUGUCUUGACUUUGGCUAGUAUUUCGGAUGGUUUAUGAUCAAAAUUUGGAUUUAUGUUCCUCAUUAAAGUUGUUCUAAAUUGUCUAAGC
rnacentral:misc_RNA from 1 species